rnacentral:rRNA from 1 species
UACAGAGGGUGCAAGCGUUGUUCGGAAUUACUGGGCGUAAAGCGCGUGUAGGCGGCUAGAAAAGUCAGAUGUGAAAUCCCUAGGCUUAACCAAGGAACUGCAUUUGAUACUGUCUAGCUUGAGUUUUGGAGGGGGUGGUGGAAUUCCUAGUGUAGAGGUAAAAUUCGUAGAUAUUAGGAGGAACACCAGUGGCGAAGGCGACCACCUGGACAAAAACUGACGCUGAGACGCGAAAGCAUGGGUAGCAAACAGG